rnacentral:rRNA from 1 species
AUUCCAGCUCCAAGAGCGUAUAUUAAAGUUGUUGCAGUUAAAAAGCUCGUAGUUGGAUUUCUGGUACAAUGCGCCUGGCCCGCGGCAGCAAUGCCUGUGAGUGCCGGUGCGCGUUUGCCAUCCUUCUAGAAAACGUUUCUACCCUUUACUGGGCCGGACUCGCGAUCUAGAUCUUUUACUUUGAAAAAAUUAGAGUGUUCAAAGCAGGCUUUUGCUGUGAAUACAUUAGCAUGGAAUAAUAAUCUAGGACUUCGGUUUUAUUUUGUUGGUUUCUAACACUGAAGUAAUGAUUGAUAGGGAUAGUUGGGGGUGCUAGUAUUGGCCGGCCAGAGGUGAAAUUCUUGGAUUCGGUCAAGACUAACUUAUGCGAAAGCAUUCACCAAGGAUGUCUUCAUUA